rnacentral:rRNA from 1 species
GAUGAACGCUAGCGGGAGGCUUAAUACAUGCAAGUCGAGGGGUAACAUUAAUGUUUACAUUAGAUGACGACCGGCGCACGGGUGAGUAACGCGUACACUACCUACCUUAUACUAGGGGAUAGCCAUUGGAAACGAUGAGUAAUACCCUAUGGUAUCGUAAGAUUAAAGUUUCGGCGGUAUAAGAUGGGUGUGCGUUCUAUUAGCUAGUUGGUAAGGUAAUGGCUUACCAAGGCGACGAUAGAUAGGGGGCGUGAGAGCGUGAUCCCCCACACGGGUACUGAGACACGGACCCGACUCCUACGGGAGGCAGCAGUAAGGAAUAUUGGACAAUGGGCGGAAGCCUGAUCCAGCCAUCCCGCGUGAAGGAUGACUGCCCUAUGGGUUGUAAACUUCUUUUAGACAGGAAGAAUAGCAUUUAUUUAUAAGUGUAUGACGGUACUGUCAGAAUAAGCACCGGCUAACUCCG